rnacentral:lncRNA from 1 species
UUUCUUAGCUUCGCCUUUUACGGGAUUAGCUACUUCUAAUUGUUUCUUUACUUCUAAUUGGUUACAGGAUUUUGCAACUAUUGUUUGUUACAUUGAGCAUUAAUGAAAUUCAACAAAAUAUUAAAAAAAAGAUUUAUACUACUUACAAGUAGAGUGGCUGGAAAACUAAAAUUCCAAACGGGAUUCGGCUCUUCGAGUUGUAGAGACUAGUACAUCGCAUGACGAUUUCUUUCUUGUUUGAGAGUUUUUAGGGUUGCGGUUUAGAAUGAACUGAAUGCAAUGAUGACAAGAAGUCUUUGCCUUCAUACUAAGUAGACUUCCCAGGGCUCUCCGUCGGCAUUCUCACCAAACCGAAUACCAAAACACCGGUUCAGAUCAAUGGCUCGCUCAAUGUUUGGCAACCCGAAAAGCUGGAUCUGUUUGCAGCAAUGAUUGUACUAACACAAGACGUUGACAACAACCCUAGUGGUAAAUUGGUAAUGCGGCAGUGGGGAUGGGAGAUAGAGUAUUGGAAUUGCUCAAGUCGACAUCUUUGACUUCAUUUAUGGCCGACUUUCUCCAUGGACAGACUAAUAUAGUAAUAUUUGCUACAUGAACAGAAAUUAUUGGAGCUGGAGUUAUUGUCUGUGUUAGUUUCUCUGGAAACAAACAUACGUACGCUGAGUCAAUCCAGCCCCACAAGACUGAUGAAUUGAAAUCACAUGCCUGCACCAAAUCAAUGGCGAAAGAGAAAGGACAAGAUCACGAGAAGAUCGAAUUCGAUUUCCCUCUCUAUAAAUUCAAUUCCUUCAUAAUUAACUAAUACCCGAUUCAGAAAAAUGAAAAUGAGAGGAAUCGGAACCGGAAUCCUUACCUUCUGCAGGCUCUUCCUCGCCGCCGCACUACUUCCGAUCACCUUUUCCAAAACCGAACGAUGUAACCCACAAGACAAAGCAGCGCUCUUCAACAUCAAGGAAAGCCUCGGCAACCCUUACCUCUUAGCCUCAUGGACUCGUGACUCCGACUGCUGCACCAGCUGGUACCAAGUCGAAUGCGACCGGACCACCAACCGGAUCACUUCCCUCACCAUCUUCGCCGGCGAACUCUCCGGCCAGAUCCCUCCCGCAGUGGGGGACCUCCCUUUCCUCGAAACGCUCGUCUUCCGCAAGCUCACCAACGUCACCGGUACAGUCCAGCCGGCGAUCGCCAAACUCAAACGACUCACGUUCCUCCGGCUCGACCAUUUAAAUCUAACUGGUUCAGUCCCUGGUUGGCUUGGCCAGCUCAAGACACUGACCUUACUCGACCUCUCGUUCAACUCGUUCACCGGCUCGAUCCCGGCGGAGCUUGCUAACUUGCCCAAUCUGGAGUCGCUCUACUUAGAUAGGAACAAGCUUACCGGACGGAUCCCGGACUCGUUCGGAAAAUUCUUGAAGUUCCCGUCGCUGUCCCUCUCGCACAAUCAGUUGUCCGGCGAGAUCCCGGCGUCGAUGGAGAAUUACAACACUGAUUACUCAAUCGAUCUGUCGAGGAACCGAUUAGAAGGCGACGCUUCGCUGUUGUUCGGCGGUGACAAGAGCGUGCUGUUCGUGGAUAUAUCGAGGAAUCUGUUCGAGUUCGAUUUCGGGAAAGUGGCGGCGUUUCCUCCGAACAUGACGAAUUUGGAUGUGAAUCAUAACAAGAUCUACGGGAAGAUUCCGGCGGGGUUGGUGAAGCUGGAUCUGCAGUUUUUUAAUGCCAGCUAUAAUCGGUUGUGUGGGGAGAUUCCCGCUGGCGGGAAGUUGCAGAGCUUCGAUUCCACGGCUUAUUUCCAUAACCGGUGCCUGUGUGGAAGCCCGCUUGAGCCCUGCAAGUGAAGAGCUGCUGGGUUGCUAGCUCUGAGUCAAUAACCAGAACCUGGUUCAACCGAAUAUUUACGUUGUUCAAUAAAGCGGAUUGAGAUUUGGUUUUACUAGCCCGUUUAAAGAUGAUUAGGUUUUAUGUACCAAUUCACCCAUUCGGAUUUAAUUACAUCAUAUAUCACUGAAUUUUAACUCUUCCACACUCACCAUUAAAUUUUAUUUAGGGCAGCCGAUAUUAUUAAAUUUUAAUUUUAAUUUCAUCGAUUAUCAUUUCGUUAAAAUAAUUGACAGAAAUCUGAUAUCGACGUUGCCCAAUCAUACCAAAUGCUGACAUGGACGCCAUGUUACAAUAUUUUAAGUUUUAAGUUGAAAACUCAAAACGAACCGGUUUUGUUCAUGAACCAAAACGCUCUCAUUACAAAGUACUGGUGUUGCUCACUUCUCCAUCAUCUUACAACUGUAAAAAAAAAAACAGAAGAUUGAAUGUUUUAAUUCAUCUCUGUUACAACUUACAUGAACAUGGUUGCAGAGCUAAUAAAGGCAACUGAACUUUUUAUGAAAACUCUUACUUCAUCAUCUCUUCCUCCUUCUUGUUUAUCUCUAAAUCAGCUGAACCGAUCUCAAAUCCUCCAGAUCCCAGCUCAGUGCCAAACCCAGAUGACCAACAAUUACAACUACAUCAAUCCUCUGGUAGUGAAUCCUUCCCCGAUGAAGCGACCCUCUUCGACAGCCGCUAAGCCGCCGACAAAGCUCUACCAGGGAGUGAGUCAACGCCACUGGCUCAGGACCUUCCAGACUGCCGAAGAAGCUGCUCUUACAUUAAUUGGUUCACUAGCUGCUCGAGACCUUGAGUAGCUGGUUGGUUUUCGUAACUAAGGCUGGCCAUUUGUGCUACCAGGUUGCUUGGUUGGUGGCCGCGGUGGUUGUGUUUAACCAUGGUGGUCAGAGGAAUAAGUAAGAAUUUAACCAUGGUGUUGUAUUUUAGUUUAUAGGUAAACGACGCCGUUUAAAUUUUUUAAUAAAAAUAUAAGUAAAAUUCUGACGUGAUAGAGGUUAACGGCCAAUCAGUCCACAUCAGAUGUCUGUCAAUCAUUUUAACGGACUGAUAGUCGAUGAAAUUAAAGUUGAACUUUAGUGGUAUCAAAUGCACUAAAUAAAGUUUAAUGGGGAGUGUGAAAGGUUUUAAAAAGUUCAGUGGUAUAUCGUAUAAUUAAUUCUAUCAAUAUGUUUUAUUAUUGUCCAUAUAUUUAAAUGUAUGGUAAAAUAAUUUGGUUCCCAUAAAAUUGUAUAUGAUCAAAGGUAUAAAAACACAAUUCAUGUAAUGACAGCUCAACNNNNNNNNNNNNNNNNNNNNNNNNNNNNNNNNNNNNNNNNNNNNNNNNNNNNNNNNNNNNNNNNNNNNNNNNNNNNNNNNNNNNNNNNNNNNNNNNNNNNNNNNNNNNNNNNNNNNNNNNNNNNNNNNNNNNNNNNNNNNNNNNNNNNNNNNNNNNNNNNCUUCAAAUAAUAAUUAAAUAAAAUUAAAAAGUAAUUUUUAUAAUUUUUUAUUAUUGUUGUUAGUAAAAAUGUAUAUGGAGUUGUUUAAAGGAUUCUCAAUAUAAAUUAGAGAUUGCUGCCUCUAAAAAAAGAAACGUAUAGGACGCUUAAGGCUAAUAAUCCCUAAACCCUUCCUGCGCCGAAAACGGCUUGGUUAUUCGACUCAGAACUCAAUUUUUGGCGACCCUAACUUAAGUACAGUUGGUCGUGUUUUUUUUCUACCAUAUUAUGCUUCAUUCUACUUUCUCUGCAAAAGGCUAUUCAAGGUUUAUUUGAACAUGGAAAGGUAUGAACUGUUCCUCUCGUUUCCACGAAGCAAUGAAGGUUGACUGUCGGGUUUUUCUCGGCAGAUGGUUUGUGGUCGUGGGAUUGGACUGUUCUCCCUCGCCUCUUGUUUCUGAUUAAUUUGUACAGCUAGUGGUUAUGCGAGUUGCAGCGUAAUGGCGGCUGUGGGGAUCGAAGGUGUUAUCUUUGUCUUCAUCUUUAGCUCUCUUAAUAUUGUUAUAUAUUCAGUUACUUCAUCAACUAUUACCAACUCGGAAAACAUAAUGGGAAUAAUCAGAAUCGGAAAUCUUACCUUCUGCCUGCUCAUCCUCGCCGCCGCACUACUUCCGACCACCUUCUCCAAAACCGAACGCUGCAACCCGCAAGACAAAGCAGCGCUCUUCAAAAUCAAGCAAAGCUACGGAAACCCUCGCCUCUUAGCCUCCUGGACUCGCGAUUCCGACUGCUGCACCAGCUGGCACCAAGUCCAAUGCGACCCCACCACCAACCGAAUCACUUCCCUCGGCAUCUUCGACGGCGAACUCUCUGGCCAGAUCCCGUCAGCAGUUGGCGACCUCCCUUUCCUCGAAGCGCUCGUCUUCCGUAAACUCACCAACAUCACCGGCCAAGUCCAGCCGGCGAUCGCCAAACUCAAACGCCUCAGGGUCAUCCGGCUCGACCAUUUAAAGCUGACCGGUUCGAUCCCCGCUUGGAUCGGCCAGCUCAAAUCCCUGACCAACCUCGACCUUUCGUUCAACCACCUCAGCGGCUCGAUUCCAGCGGAACUCGCUAACUUGUCCAAUCUCGAGUCGCUGUACUUGAUUCGGAACAAGCUCACCGGCCCGAUCCCGGACUCGUUUGGCAAAUUCUCGAAAUUCCCGUCGCUGUACCUCUCGCAGAACCAACUCUCCGGCCCGAUCCCGGCGUCGAUGGCGGAUUACAACGCCGAUUUCGAAAUCGAUCUGUCGAGGAACCGAUUGGAAGGCGACGCUUCGCUCUUGUUCGGCGGUGACAAGAGCGUGCUGUUCAUCGAUAUCUCGAGGAAUCUGUUCGAGUUCGAUCUGGGGAAAGUGGCGGCGUUUCCUCCGAAAAUGAUGAAUUUGGAUAUGAAUCAUAACAAGAUCUACGGGAAGAUUCCGGCGGCGUUGGUAAAUCUGACGAAUUUGCAGUUUUUCAAUGCCAGCUAUAAUCGGCUGUGUGGAGAGAUUCCCGCCGGCGGGAAGUUGCAGAGCUUUGAUUCUACGGCUUAUUUCCAUAACCAGUGCCUGUGUGGAAUCCCGCUCGAGAGCUGUAAGUGAAGAACUGCUGGGUUGCUAGCUGAGUCGAUUGGUUGAACCAGAACCUGGUUGGUUCGACAGAAGAUUUAGGUUGCUGAAUUUGUAUUUAAGUCCGGUUCGAUACAUGUUUAAAUUUCUAUUUUAAUUAAACCGUAUUAAUAUUUAACGUACUAAAAUUAUCAUUACAAAUCUAAACUCCUUAAAAUCUAAUUUCUAAACCCCUAAAUCGGGAAACAUCUUCAGAGUCGAGCCCUCCAUAUCUCGUCGCCCGCCAGUUGCCAGCCGCCUUCCGUUGAACAGCAGUCGCCGUCAACAGCUCCGUCGAAAUCUGAUAAUAAGCCCCUGUACUAAGACUCUAGUUAUAGAGAAAAACAAGUACAUUUAACCAGAAAACAAGUUGAAAUGAAAGACUUUCAACCUGAAUAUAAAGACUGGUGAUAAGGUCCGUUCCGUUGCGGUGAAUCGGUUCUUCAACGGUCUGGAUUGUUUCAAUUGAAGAAGUAUAUUCUAACUUCUUUGGAGAAAAACAAUCGGUUCUUCAAAGUAUCGAUCUCAAUUUCGCGCCUUGGUUGUCAUAUACUCGACAAAUCAGCAACGUCAAUCACUCCGCCGUCAUCGAAACAAAUAUCCCUAAUAGAAAAGCUUAUAAGUAUAAUCAUCAAUCAAUUAUCCAAAAUAAUAAAUUUAUUAUUCAAAUUCAACUUAAUGCAUGUUUCAAUCGUGAAUCCGUCGUGACUUAUCGGGCACCAGGUUUGUGCUCGUGGGAUUGGAAUUUCUCCUCGUACAGCUGUUUAUAUUAAUAUACACUCUAGUGGUAAUGCGAGCUGCCGCGUCUUUGACUUCCUUCAGUAUUGGCUGACUUUCUCCGUCGACAGACUGAUACCAAAUCACAUGCCUUCCCAAUCACAUCCGAAAGAGAAAGGAAGAGAAGUUCAAAUUCGAUUUCCCUCACUAACAAUCACUGUAUAAAUUCAAUUCCAUCAUAAUUAACUAAUACCCAAUUCCGAAAAGAGGAAAAUGAGAGGAAUCGGAAUCCUUACCUUCUGCCGGCUCUUCCUCGCCGCCGCACUACUUCCGAUCACCUUCUCCAAAACCGAACGCUGCAACCCGAAAGACAAAGCAGCGCUCUUCAACAUCAAGGAAAGCUUCGGUAACCCUUACCUCUUAGCCUCCUGGACUCACGACUCCGACUGCUGCACCAGCUGGUACCAAGUCGAAUGCGACCGGACCACCAACCGGAUCACUUCCCUCACCAUCUUCGCCGGCGAACUCUCCGGCCAGAUCCCUCCCGCAGUGGGGGACCUCCCUUUCCUCGAAACGCUCGUCUUCCGCAAGCUCACCAACGUCACCGGUACAGUCCAGCCGGCGAUCGCCAAACUCAAAUGACUCACGUUCCUCCGGCUCGACCAUUUGAACUUGACAGGUUCGGUCCCCGGCUGG